rnacentral:lncRNA from 1 species
GUCUGCGCCUUCAAGGCAGGCGUGCGGUACAGGGAGCUGUACUUGAAGUUUGGUCGAACCGGCGACAUCUCCAGGAGCAAGAUGAUGGAGAUAGCAACUCGCUAUGCAAAUGGCGAAGAAGAGGACCGCAUCCGGAGCGGUAAACACAAGACAGUCGGCGAUGCCGACGGAGGUAACACUCGGAAGCAGAAACCGAAGGUUCCGCCCACACCGCAAGCAGAAGCUGCAGCUGUAACCAGCGCCAAAUUCAAGGGUAAAGGGAAAGCGCAGUUCACCCCC